AUUGAACGCUGGCGGCAGGCCUAACACAUGCAAGUCGAGCGGCAGCGGAAAGUAGCUUGCUACUUUGCCGGCGAGCGGCGGACGGGUGAGUAAUGUCUGGGAAACUGCCUGAUGGAGGGGGAUAACUACUGGAAACGGUAGCUAAUACCGCAUAACGUCGCAAGACCAAAGAGGGGGACCUUCGGGCCUCUGGCCAUCAGAUGUGCCCAGAUGGGAUUAGCUAGUAGGUGGGGUAACGGCUCACCUAGGCGACGAUCCCUAGCUGGUCUGAGAGGAUGACCAGCCACACUGGAACUGAGACACGGUCCAGACGCCUACGGGAGGCAGCAGUGGGGAAUAUUGCACAAUGGGCGCAAGCCUGAUGCAGCCAUGCCGCGUGUAUGAAGAAGGCCUUCGGGUUGUAAAGUACUUUCAGCGGGGAGGAAGGUGUUGUGGUUAAUAACCACAGCAAUUGACGUUACCCGCAGAAGAAGCACCGGCUAACUCCGUGCCAGCCGCCGCAGUAA
rnacentral:rRNA from 1 species